rnacentral:rRNA from 1 species
CAGCAGCCGCGGUAAUACGUAGGUCCCGAGUGUUGUCCGGAUUUAUUGGGCGUAAAGGGAGCGCAGGCGGUUUAGUAAGUCUGAAGUUAAAGGCAUUGGCUCAACCAAUGUAUGCUUUGGAAACUGUUAGACUUGAGUGCAGAAGGGGAGAGUGGAAUUCCAUGUGUAGCGGUGAAAUGCGUAGAUAUAUGGAGGAACACCGGUGGCGAAAGCGGCUCUCUGGUCUGUCACUGGCGCUGAGGCUCGAAAGCGUGGGUAGCGAACAGGAUUAGAUACCCCCGUAGUCCCUGUCUCUUAUACA